rnacentral:rRNA from 1 species
GUCGAGGAUAUUUAGCAAUGCCCGAAAGGGUGACUAUGCGACGCCGCGUGCGCGAUGAAGGUCUUCGGAUUGUAAAGCGCUGUCAGCCGGGAGGAAUCUCGGGGGUUCGAACAGAGCCGCCGGGUGACAGUACCGGCAGAGGAAGCCACGGCUAACUCCGUGCCAGCAGCCGCGGUAAUACGGAGGUGGCAGGCGUUACUCGGAUUGAUUGGGUGUAAAGGGUGUGUAGGCGGUGCGCUAAGUCGAAUGUGAAAUCCCUUGGCUCAACCAAGGAAUUGCAUUCGAAACUGGCGUGCUUGAGUGAUGGAGAGGAAAGCGGAAUUCCCGGUGUAACAGUGAAAUGUGUAGAUAUCGGGAGGAACACCAGUGGCGAAGGCGGCUUUCUGGACAUCUACUGACGCUGAAACACGAGAGCAUGGGGAGCAAACAGGAUUAGAAACCCCGGUAGUCC